rnacentral:rRNA from 1 species
CCUUCCCUAGGCCAAGGAGCCGGUAUCAGACACAACUACAGUCCACAACACCUAGUCUCACCACACCCCCAAGGGUACUCAGCAGUGAUAAAUAUUGAGCAUAAGCGAUAGCUUGACUCAGUCAGAGAAAAGAGAGCCGGCCAACCCGGUGCCAGCCGCCGCGGCUACCCCGUGGGCUCGAGUUGAUGAUCAUCGGCGUUAAGCGUGAUUAAAGUUCAUCUAGAUUAGGGCCAAACUAAUACUUAGUAGUAAAAAGCUUGUUAUUAAGAAGAACAUAAACGAAAGUUGCCCUAACUCACAUACUUGAAUACACGACAGUUGGAAAACAAACUGGGAUUAGAUACCCCACUAUGCCCAACCGUAAACAAUUAACCUACAUCUAUAAGCGCCUGGGAACUACGAGCUAUGCUUAAAACCCAAAGGAUUUGACGGUGUCCCACCCAACUAGAGGAGCCUGUUCUAUAAUCGAUGAUCCCCGAUAUACCUAACCACCCCUAGCUCAUCCGUCUGUAUACCUCCGUCGAAAGCCUACCAUGUGAACGUUUACAGUAGGCCCAAGGACCCACAUUAGCGCGUCAACACGUCAGGUCAAGGUGCAACUUAAGGAGUGGGAAGUAAUUGGCUACAAUUUCUAAUCUAGAACAAACGAAAGACAGUGUGAAAUCACAGUCACGAAGGCGGAUUUAGCAGUAAAAAGAAAAUAGAGAGUUCUUUUU